GAGGGAAAUUUAUUUGUGUGCUGGGAAGGCUGUCACAGGACAAAGACCCAUGUACCUGAGUUUAAGAAUAUGUGUCAUCAGGGAGAGGAGCCAAGAUGGCAGAACAGCAUGGCAGUUUUUUUAUGUCUUGUGACCAUGAAAUACAGCCAGACCAACACUAAACCAUCCUGCACACCUAGAAAACUGAUCUGAGGAAUAACACAACAAUCUGCACAACCUGAACCACGGAACUCAGCAGCACCAAGGCCUUUGAGACUGCUGUGAAGCACCCUUUCUGCGAAAGCCAAGCCUCCUUAAAAUGUCAUCAUUCCUCACGAUAACCUUCAAGGUCCACUGCCAUGCUUCAGAGACAGCAAAGUACCCCCUGGAAAGAUCCAUGUAGAGAAGAACUGAGCUCUUCUGUCAACAACCGGUACCAACUUUCUACUCAUGUGGGUUGUCAUCACCUUGUGAAGAAACUAGCCUCCUGAGGACUAGAGAGAACAUAAAGAGAGAGAGUUGCAGCCAUCCCGGCAUUCUGAGAUGAGACCCCCCAAUACAUGAAUGACGCCAUUCUGUACUAGCCAAUCCCCAGCCAACCCAUUUGGUUAUUGCAGCCACCUAAGUGACCUCAGGCCAGACCAGCAGAAGAACCACCCAUCUGAGCUCCAAAUUACAGAAUCAUAAGCAAAUAAAUUGUUGUUUUUUAAAGAUA